rnacentral:siRNA from 1 species
CACCGAACGGGAUUAGAUGGUAUG